AGUAACGCGUGGAUAACCUGCCUCACACUGGGGGAUAACAGUUAGAAAUGACUGCUAAUACCGCAUAAGCGCACAGUACCGCAUGGUACGGUGUGAAAAACUCCGGUGGUGUGAGAUGGAUCCGCGUCUGAUUAGCCAGUUGGCGGGGUAACGGCCCACCAAAGCGACGAUCAGUAGCCGACCUGAGAGGGUGACCGGCCACAUUGGGACUGAGACACGGCCCAA
rnacentral:rRNA from 1 species